rnacentral:rRNA from 1 species
GCAUGGCUAUUCCUGCCCAAACCUCUUGAGUACUGAAAAUUCCAUAAUUGUCAUCUGAUCUGAGAAGUUAAGCAGGGUCAGGUCUGGUUAGUAAUGGGAUGGGAGAGUGCCUGGCAAUACUGGAUGCUGUAGGCU